UUUUGUGUUAUAAAAUAUGUUAACUACAAUCCUUACGAAGAAGCUGAAUGCAGUCAGGAGAAUGGCAAUUGUUAUCGCAUAGUUUGUUUUUUGUGUAUGGUACAAUGUCGUUUGUUUUUUGUUCACUUCAAUGUUUCUGCUGUUUCGUUGUCGAAAUGUACUAUAAUGCAUUGUUUAUUUGCAUAAUUGUCUGUCCUGUAUGUUCUUGCAUUUAUUUGUACUGAUUCCUGUCAUGUAAUGAUGUAAUGUUAUUGUUAUAUUUAACAUUGCUAUAAAGGUGCAAGGUUUGGCUAGCCACAAAACCAGGU
rnacentral:lncRNA from 1 species